AUACCUUUCUCGGCCUUUUGGCUAAGAUCAAUUGUAGUAUCUGUUCUUAUCAGUCUAAUAUCUGAUAUGUGGUUCAAUGAACCACAAGAUAUUGAAUUGAGAUUUUGAGGGGGAAGUCUCAUAUAUGACGGUAGAUUGCUACUAGAUAUGAGAUUUCAGCGUCGCUUUUGUAUUGCAGAAGCCUGGCGCACCCCAC